CAGCAUCAACUGUCAGAGGAAACCUGCAGCCAUGGAGACAUGAUACUAAAACCCUGAGCUGAGCAGCUGCAAGGAGAGCAGCAAUAACUUCAAAAGCCCCUGCCUCCCUGAGAGCACCACUUUGGGAGGAUGCCUUCCUGGCCAGCAGGGAGUCAACACUGCUUUGCAGAGUGUACUGGCUUUCAAAGCUUUCCUCAUUGGCUGAUUUGUGCAGACGGGCGGAAGGAUGGACCAACUAUAGAGCAUGCAGAGUCCUUUGAAGUACUUGGGACUGCCUCUCAGACCUUUUACAGGGGCCAUGCUAAUUUCCUCUGUACACAAGCUAUCAAGGUGAGCACCACAGAUAUUUCUAACAGGUAAAUGACCGUCAUUUCCUGAGCAUAUCUGCCAUGAAGGCGCUGGCCAACUCUCGGCAAAAGAUAAAUCAGAUACGAAAGGGAAGGACCUCAGAUUAAUCCAAUACUUUCUUGAACAGUCUUCUCUUUCUGCUGCACUUCUACUCCCAACC